CGCUAAAUGGUCCCAAUCUUGCAGGGGUUCCCGUCCUUGUGAAAGCUGAUGGGUGAGUUGACAGGACCUUCCAAGCCUGAGCUGCUGAGAUGUGGGCUCAGGUCUUGGAAACAAUAAAAGUGCAAUUUUCCAAGACAUUUGCUCGCAGAAGAGCCAAGAACAUAAAAGCCCAUUCUGUUAGCCUCCCGGCAAGUCUCUCCUCUCCUCUUAGUCUCAGACAGAGGUGGGGCUGUAUCCUGUCAGGUUAAUUAAGGGUGACAUGAAAAGUGACCUCAGCAUCUGCUGGCGGCUGCAUUGGUGGACACAAAUCUUCUGAUAUUGGACAAGGGACACUGCUUCUAGCCGGACUGAACCAGGAGAGCCAGCACCUCACUUCCUGACUGGCCAGAGGGACACAACUCUCCAUAAUGAAUUCUCUUUGCUGUUCUGCCUUGCCUUGGUCCCAAAGCAAGGGAAAUGGUUGCCUAUAGACUGAAACCUCGGAACCCUGAUGCUGCCUCUCGUAAGAUGCUUUACACAGAUAAGGGAGAAAAGAAGACACUAUGUCCACAGAGGCAGAGACUGAGCAGUAUGACCACACAUCAAAGACCCCACCAAUCUUCAAAGCUGAAACAUGCCAAGAAUGGCUCACUGAAGUCCCUGGAGGGGUCAAUUCUGUGUCAAUGCCUAACUCCAGUCUUGGCCAUGUUUAUAGACUUCUUACCUCCAGCGUGAGAGAAGAAAGAAGUCUGCCACACGACUCCAGAUGUGACCAGCUGUCUCCUUCUGCCACCACACUACUCUUACUACGAUGGGCUAUAUGCCUUUGAACUGUAAGUCGGUAACGAAUCUUUCCUGCCUUAAGUUGGUAGUGUCAGAGAUAUUUGGUCACAGCAGUUGGAGAAGUAAUUAAUCCAUCUACCAAAUAUACUUAUUCUAGUCAUAUAUUAAGAGAUUUUGGAAAUGUUCUGAAGGUGGGUCUGUAGAUUUUAUGAACCACCUUGAACAGUGGUCCUAGUCUUCCAUUUUCUACCUGGCUCUCAUAUGUACCAAUUGUGAUGGCUAAUCUCAGUUGUCAACUUGACUGUAUCUGGAAUGAAUUCCAGAAAUAGAGGGCAUACCUGUGAUCCAGAUCUUGAGACUGGAAGACACGAGUUUUUUGAUCUGGAUCUCGUAGCAUAGUGGACAGGAAAAGCAAGGUGAUACAGGCCUUUAAUCCCAGUAGACAGAAGCAACCAGAUCUUUGAGUACAAGGCCAGCCUGGAACAUAGCAAGCUCCAAGUAAAGAACAGCUUAGGUUUAAGUGUGGUGGUACACACCUUUAAUCUGGGCCAUACCUUCUGAUGGAGUGCUACAUACAAACACAGGAAGAAGGAAGGCUUUUUUUCCAGCUUAUACAGAAGACCAGCUGAAGCACCUAGCCUUGUGUGGCACUGAGCAACUACCGGAUUCUUGGACUUCCUAUUCACAACUGCACAUUGUUGGGUGAGUUGUAUUGGAGACUGUAAGUCAUUCCAAUAAAUUCCCUUAAUAUAUAGAGACAUUCCAUGACUCUAGAGAACACUAAUACACCUAUCUACAUAGACUACAUGCAUACCACCUUAGUUCCAUGCCUAGAGGAUGUAAAAACAUGUUUCGAUCUUCCUCCAACACGGUUUCAAAAGGAAAUGGAUGUUGCUCAGUAUGGUCUCUUCUGUCCAUCCAUCUGCUGUGCCUUUGCAGGGUGAGGUACUUGCUAUGCAUUACUGUGACCAAAAUACAA
ensembl:lncRNA